GAUGAACGCUGGCGGCGUGCCUAAUACAUGCAAGUCGAGCGAAAAGACGCGGAGCUUGCUCCUCUGACGUUAGCGGCGGACGGGUGUGUAACACGUGUAUAACCUACCUAUAAGACUGGGAUCAUUUCGGGACACCGGCGCUAAUCCCGGAGAAUCUAUUGAUCCGCAUGGUUCAAUAGUGAAAGACGGCUUUGCGGUAUCUUCUAGCUGGAUCCGCGCCGCAUUAGCUAGUUGGUAAGGUAACGGCUUACCAAGGCAACGAUGCGUAUCCGACCUGAGAGGGGGGUCGGCCACCCGGGAGGGGAGACAGGGUCCAGACUCCUACGGUACGCAGCAGAAGGGAAUCGGCGGCAAUGGGCGAAAGCCUGACGGAGCGACGCCGCGUGAGAUAUGAAGGUCUUCGGAUCGUAAUACUCGGUUAUUAGGGGAGAACAAAUGUGGAAGUAACUAUGCACGGCUUGACGGUACCGAGUCAGAAAGCAACGGCUAACUACGUG
rnacentral:rRNA from 1 species